rnacentral:lncRNA from 1 species
AAAAUACUGGAUCAAAAAAAGACAGGUGAUCACUCGACUACAAAAUACUGGAUAAACAAAGACUGGUGAUUACUCGACUUCAAAAUACUGGAUCAAACAAAGACAGGAGAUCACUCGACUACAAAAUACUGGAUCAUCAAAGACUGGUGAUUACUUGACUACAAAAUACUGGAUCAAACAAAGACAUGUGAUCACUCGACUACAAAAUACUGGAUCAAACAAAGACUGGUGAUUACUCGACUACAAAAUACUGGAUCAAACAAAGACUGGUGAUUACUCGACUACAAUAUACUGGAUCAAACAAAGACAGGUGAUCACUUGACUACAAAAUACUGGAUAAACAAAGACUGGGGAUUACUCAACUUCAAAAUACUGGAUCAAACAAAUGUUUACUCUAUUAUCAUAUCAGAUGUUUCUAUAUUUUAUAA